UACGUAGGGGGCAAGCGUUGUCCGGAUUUAUUGGGCGUAAAGAGCUCGUAGGUGGUUCGGUAAGUCGGAUGUGAAAUCUCCAGGCUCAACCUGGAGGGGUCAUUCGAUACUGCCGUGACUAGAGGUCGGUAGGGGAGUGUGGAAUUCCUGGUGGAGCGGUGAAAUGCGCAGAUAUCAGGAGGAACACCCGUGGCUAAGGCGGCUCUCUAGUACGGUACUGACGCUGAGACGCGAAAGCGUGGGGAGCGAACAGG
rnacentral:rRNA from 1 species